rnacentral:rRNA from 1 species
CUUGUAGGUGGCUUGUCGCGUCUGCCGUGAAAACCCGAGGCUCAACCUCGGGCGUGCGGUGGGUACGGGCAGGCUAGAGUGUGGUAGGGGAGACUGGAACUCCUGGUGUAGCGGUGAAAUGCGCAGAUAUCAGGAAGAACACCGAUGGCGAAGGCAGGUCUCUGGGCCAUUACUGACACUGAGAAGCGAAAGCAUGGGUAGCGAACAGGAUUAGAUACCCUGGUAGUCCAUGCCGUAAACGUUGGGCACUAGGUGUGGGGGACAUUCCACGUUUUCCGCGCCGUAGCUAACGCAUUAAGUGCCCCGCCUGGGGAGUACGGCCGCAAGGCUAAAACUCAAAGGAAUUGACGGGGGCCCGCACAAGCGGCGGAGCACGCUGAUUAAUUCGAUGCAACGCGAAGAACCUUACCAAGGCUUGACAUGCACUGGACGGCUGCAGAGAUGUGGCUUUCUUCGGACUGGUGCGCAGGUGGUGCAUGGUUGUCGUCAGCCCGUGUCGUGAGAUGUUGGGUUAAGUCCCGCAACGAGCGCAACCCUCGUUCUAUGUUGCCAGCACGUGAUGGUGGGGACUCAUAGGAGACUGCCGGGGUCAACUCGGAGGAAGGUGGGGACGACGUCAAAUCAUCAUGCCCCUUAUGUCUUGGGCUUCAAGCAUGCUACAAUGGUCGGUACAAUGGGUUGCGAAACUGUGAGGUGGAGCGAAUCCCAAAAAGCCGGCCUCAGUUCGGAUUGGGGUCUGCAACUCGACCCCAUGAAGUCGGAGUCG